GACGAACGCUGGCGGCGUGCUUAACACAUGCAAGUCGAACGGAAAGGCCCUGCUUUUGUGGGGUGCUCGAGUGGCGAACGGGUGAGUAACACGUGAGUAACCUGCCCUUGACUUUGGGAUAACUUCAGGAAACUGGGGCUAAUACCGGAUAGGAGCUCCUGCUGCAUGGUGGGGGUUGGAAAGUUUCGGCGGUUGGGGAUGGACUCGCGGCUUAUCAGCUUGUUGGUGGGGUAGUGGCUUACCAAGGCUUUGACGGGUAGCCGGCCUGAGAGGGUGACCGGGCACAUUGGGCCUGAGGUACGGCCCAGACUGCUACGGGAGGCAGCAGUGGGGAAUAUUACACAAUGGGCGGAAGCCUGAUGCAGCAACGCCGCGUGCGGGAUGACGGCCUUCGGGUUGUAAACCGCUUUCGCCUGUGACGAAGCGUGAGUGACGGUAAUGGGUAAAGAAGCACCGGCUAACUACGUG
rnacentral:rRNA from 1 species